rnacentral:rRNA from 1 species
UACGGAGGGUGCAAGCGUUAUCCGGAUUCACUGGGUUUAAAGGGAGCGCAGGCGGACUUGUAAGUCAGUGGUGAAAUACCUGAGCUUAACUCGGGAACUGCCAUUGAUACUAUAGGUCUUGAAUGUUGUUGAGGUUUGCGGAAUGGGUCAUGUAGCGGUGAAAUGCGUAGAUAUGACCCGGAACACCUAUUGCGAAGGCAGCAGGCUAAACAAAUAUUGACGCUGAGGCUCGAAAGCGUGGGGAUCAAACAGG